UGCGAACGUUGUUCGGAAUCACUGGGCUUAAAGGGCGCGUAGGCGGCCCGCCGCGUCCGGGGUGAAAUCCUCCCGCUCAACGGGAGAACGGCCUCGGAUACGGGCGGGCUGGAGGCGGGUAGGGGCGGGCGGAACUGUGGGUGGAGCGGUGAAAUGCGUUGAUAUCCACAGGAACUCCGGUGGCGAAGGCGGCCCGCUGGACCCGAUCUGACGCUGAGGCGCGAAAGCCAGGGGAGCGAACGGG
rnacentral:rRNA from 1 species